UCAGAGCAGCGUGCAAUGUCUGUGUCCUCAUGAAAAGUGUCCGUGGGGACAUGUGCAAUCAGGUCUCUGCAGCUGACCAAAAAAAGGUACAACAGGACCUUGGAGAGUGGACGUGUCCCUGCUGUCAUCCACGUGCAGGAGCUGACCUCCUGGCAGACAGCAAUGCACCGUUGACAAAACCUUGAACAGACCUGGGUCCUCAGCCCGGCAACACCUGGCGUGUCAAGAUGCCUGUACCAGGGAUGAGGGAAUAAAAAUGUGAUGCAUUAGAGGAAUGUCAGAGACUGGCUAAAGAAACCUUGAAGUGCCAUUGUCACACGCUUGUGCUCCGCAAGGGUACACGCGGACAUGACUCCUUUCCGGGAAAACGAUCACCUUCUGUGUUUUCAUGAGAAGAGCACGCCUUCUUGGGAGGAAAUUCUGCUCUGCCUACAGCCUGACGUCUUCAUGCUACGUUGACCUUUGCAUAUGGAACUGAAAAUGAAAAGGAAAUUGAAAUCCGAGGGGGGGAGAUGGCGUGAUGGU